UCUAUAUGUAUAAAUAGCAUGUUGAGCUUUCAUUUGGUAAAAUAAGAAGAAAAAUAAAAGAGAGUAAUAAAAUGGCAAAUGAAGAGAGUGAACUUUACUUUGUUUUUAUGAACUAUGAUCCUGAAUACGAACGUCUUCGAUCCAAAAGAACAAAGAAGGGAAGCUAUGAGCUGGAUGUGUACAUAAGCAAUAAACAUGAUGAGCUGUUAGCAAAUACAUUUGAGGCAGGAAGCUAUAUAAAGAGAUUGUCUUUGGUUAUUGUUGAUGGAUUUGCUGUUGAAAUCACUCAACAUCAGGCUAAUGUGCUUAGAUCUGCAAAAGAAGUGAGGGUUGUGGAGAAAAAUCAAGAACUUGCUUAAUGGCUUGGAUGGUUAUUAUUAUUGAGAAAUUUAAUAUAUAGAUUUAAAAAUAUAUUUACCCAUCGACCAUAAAAAAAAAAAGUGAGAAGAGAAAAGGAAGGGAAGGGGGUGGGGUUAUGUUUUAUUAAUGCACCAUAUAUAUUGAGCUAUAAGUAAUUAAAUUUAUCGUUAUUACAUAUAUUUAAUUGUGAUGAUGGAUUUUCGUUGAUAAAAGUGGAUUUGUACUCAUGAAUAUAUGUUUAUUGUAAUCAAAUUUCAUUAAUUGAUGACUUUCUAAUACUAUAAUUUGGACAUGUA